AUACUCACCUGGCCAGGGAGAUACCAUGAUCACAAAGGUGGUUUUCCUAGGGUAAGUCUUAUCAAUUGCACUCCAGAUUUACUGAUCCCUGUGAUUUCCUCAAAUGUUGUUGUGGACUGUGUUCAUGUUCUUCUC
ensembl:snRNA U1 U1 spliceosomal RNA